UGGUGUUAACACUAGAAUAAAGUUCUUUAAUUCCAUAUCCGUGCAACCUCAAAAAGACUUCGAGCCGCCUCAGGAACAAUCCGUACAAUCACAAGACCAAACCGGGUGUCCUCAGGAACAAUCCGGACAAUCUCAAGAUCAAUCCGAGCCGCCUCAAAAACAAUCCGGGCAAUCUCAAGAUCAAUCCGAGCCGCCUCAGGAACAAUCCGGGCAAUCUCAAGAUCAAUCACAGCCGCCUCAGGAAUAAACCGGGCAAUCUCAAGAUCAAUCAGAGCCGCCUCUGGAACAAUCCGGGAAAUCUCAAGCUCAAUCAGUGUCGCCUCAGGAACAAACCGGGCAAUCUCAAGAUCUAUCCGGGCAAUCUCCGGAAAAUGUACCGUUAAUCAACAUAUCACAAAACAACGAGGAGCAAGAAACCGUAGAAAUAGAGAUACGAAAUGAUGUACGAUAUACAAAACUGUGCAAUUCUGUAAGGACAAUUAUGAUAAUAAAUAUCAUUUUGAGCGUGGUAAUAUUUAUUUUAACUGCAGCAUUGAUCGCCGUAAUUGUGCAUUAUACAUCAAAGCAACAAGAAAUUGGCAAGGAAAAACAGCUUAUUGGUCCUCAAAAUGAUCCAUUUUUCACGAUAGCAUUCCCCCAAAAAGGAUCUACUGUGACUACAAAGUUCUUCCUGCCAUUUAAAGCGACAUAUUCAAUUCACACAACUUUCGAGAAGGAAAACAAAGAUAGAAAUGUUACCGAUAUAUGUUCUGGAGACAUAAAAUACCAUUACAAACUAUAUUGUGAUAAAGAUCACAGAACGUGUGAAGAUACUGUUUGUAGUUACAAAUGUACAAAGUUCGAUAUAAGUCUUUCUGAAAUGCAAUUGGUCUUACUUGAUCUGGAUGACAGUUGUCUCGCUUUGAACGGCAGAAUUGAAAUAUGGAAUUCAACAAUAAAAGUUAUCAGAUAAACGUUAAAAUGCAGUGUGCAUUAAACAUAAACAAUUUGACGACAAAUAACUCUUUGGAUGUCUCUUUGAAACGGAGAAUAAACAUUGUGAAUAAUUUUGGUAAAUGUUCGAGCAUUUUAAUCUAAAUUUUUGCAAAGUACUUAAUAAUUGAUCACCAGUGCACACCUAUAUUUCAUUCAGAACAAUACCGACAUGUGCAUGUAUAAAUUCAAAGGGACGUCGGUUUCAUCUUCAUACAGCAUCUUCAUUUUCUGAAUGUCAAUUUAUAAAUUUACGAGUAUGUCCUCUUAUUGACUUCAUUACUAAACAUGAUUUGUUUUGGAUAUUCAUUGUUUAGUGUUAUGGUUUUAAUAUGUGAAGUUGCCGUCUUAUGACAGAACCCCACACCUGAUUCUAGUAAUCUUGUAUAUCUACUAAAAAAGUUUUAUCCUUUGCCUCCUGGUACCGCGUAUUUUCAAUCUACCUUUAAAGGGCGUUAUCAACUACUUUCGCCCUUUUUUAAACGAUAGAAAACGGAAAUAAGAAACAUUAAUUUUUCUUUAAGUUAUUAACAAUUUCUGCAAGUAAUAUUUAUAACUGAUUGCAGGAAUAGACUGGUACUUUUGAUUUUUCCAGCAAUAAAAUUGCAUAUUUACAAUUAGUUCUGUAUAUAUAACUCUGCUGUACAAAAUAUUCAAAAAUGAACUAUCUCAAUAUUUUGGUUGUUUGUAUUGCUGUGACGAUUUCUGUUUGGCGUAUACUCCACAUAGCCUUUAAUUCAUAUCAAAUGCUACUGCAUAGAUGAACUGGACAGACCGACGAGCUAAGACUAUCUGUUUAACACAUGAAUUGAUCAAAUCCGAUUUGAAUUAAUUUGAAUUAAUUUUGAUUUGAGAAAGUCCUUCUCAAUCAUUUUUGUGGUAAUAACUCGAAAUAUGUCAAACUCAGAAAAUGCAGUUUUGAGCCAUAUUAAGUCAUUCUGAAUCAAAUUAUAUGUUUAGAAAUGCACCAUAUUGCUGUUAGAACCUCAAAGCUCCCAUAUAAAUAUGUUAUACUUUCAAUUCUAGUAAUGGUUUGAAGACUUUUGAAAAUAACCCAUUGGAAAAUAAAUUCAGGCAAAAUUUACCCUAUUUCUUUGGUCAUACUUUGCCGCAAACUUAUGAGUUUGGUGUGAGGUUAUCGACUGAAUCUUGCAUCGUCAAAAUAUAUUUUUUCGAGACAAAUGAUUAUAUAUUUGCCAAUGAUAUUAAA